rnacentral:miRNA from 1 species
ACGUGAAUUACCCAGAGACCUUAUCAAUAUAUAGAAGCUAAUUCAGUAGGAUUUGGGCAGGGUCCCAGAUUCUGCAUUAUUUUUAAGAUUCUGCAUUUCUAAUAGGUUUCCUGGUGAUGUCGGU